UACGUAGGGGGCAAGCGUUGUCCGGAUUUAUUGGGCGUAAAGAGCGUGUAGGCGGCUUUACAGGUCCGUUGUGAAAACUCGAGGCUCAACCUCGAGACGCCGGUGGAAACCGUAAGGCUAGAGUCCGGAAGAGGAGAGUGGAAUUCCUGGUGUAGCGGUGAAAUGCGCAGAUAUCAGGAAGAACACCCGUGGCGAAGGCGGCUCUCUGGGACGGUACUGACGCUAAGACGCGAAAGCGUGGGGAGCGAACAGG
rnacentral:rRNA from 1 species